UGGGGAAUAUUGGACAAUGGGCGAAAGCCUGAUCCAGCCACGCCGCGUGAGUGAUGAAGGCCUUCGGGUCGUAAAGCUCUGUGGGGAGGGACGAACAAGUUGCGUGCUAACACCACGUGACCCUGACGGUACCUCCUUAGCAAGCACCGGCUAACCAUGUGCCAGCAGCCGCGGUAAUACAUGGGGUGCAAACGUUGCUCGGAAUUAUUGGGCGUAAAGCGCGCGUAGGCGGUCACUUAAGUCGGAUGUGAAAGCCCCUGGCUCAACCGGGGAAGUGCACCCGAAACUGAGUGGCUUGAGUACGAAAGAGGGUCGCGGAAUUCCCGGUGUAGAGGUGAAAUUCGUAGAUAUCGGGAGGAACACCGGUGGCGAAGGCGGCGACCUGGGUCGAGACUGACGCUGAGGCGCGAAAGCGUGGGGAGCAAACAGGAUUAGAUACCCUGGUAGUCCACGCCGUAAACGAUGGGUGCUAGAUGUUUCUGGUAUUGACCCCGGAGGCGUCGUAGCU
rnacentral:rRNA from 1 species